rnacentral:rRNA from 1 species
CCUACGGGAGGCAGCAGUGAGGAAUAUUGGUCAAUGGGCGCGAGCCUGAACCAGCCAAGUCGCGUGAGGGAAGACGGUCCUAUGGAUUGUAAACCUCUUUUGUCGGGGAGCAAAAGACGCCACGCGUGGCGUUCCGAGAGUACCCGAAGAAAAAGCAUCGGCUAACUCCGUGCCAGCCGCCGCGGUAAUACGGAGGAUGCGAUCGUUAUCCGGAUUUAUUGGGUUUAAAGGGUGCGCAGGCGGAAGAUCAAGUCAGCGGUAAAAUUGAGAGGCUUAACCUCUUCGAGCCGUUGAAACUGGUUUUCUUGAGUGAGUGAGAAGGAUGCGGAAUGCGUGGUGUAGCGGUGAAAUGCAUAGAUAUCACGCAGAACUCCGAUUGCGAAGGCAGCAUACCGGCGCUCAACUGACGCUCAUGCACGAAAGUGUGGGUAUCGAACAGGAUUAGAUACCCUUGUAGUC